UCGUACGCCGAUGAGAGGAUAGCCGUUGGUGAGCAUGCUCAUCAGUGGCGCAGCUAACAGCAUUAAGCGUGAAGCGUGGGGAGUGGGGUCGCAAGAUUAAAAAUCAAAGGAAUUGACGGGGGCCCGCACCAGCGGUGGAGCAUGUGGUAUAAUUAGAAGCAACGCGCAGAACCUUACCAGCCUUUGACCUGUCUCGGAAUUGGACCAGAGAUGGGCCAAGCUAUUGGGAGCCGGGAACACAGACACGCAUGGCUGUCGUCAGCUCGUGUCGUGAGAUGUUGGGUUAAGUCCCAAGUCGAGCGCAACCCUCGCCCUUAGUUGCCAUCAUUAAGUUGGGCACUCUAGAGGGAGAGCCGGUGAUAAGCCGAGAGGAAGGGGGGGAUGACGUCAAGUCCUCAUGGCCCUUUAUGGGUGGGCUACACACGUGCUACAAAGGCGGUGACAGUGGGGUCGGAACCCGGGAGGGGGAGCAAAUUUCCAAAAACCGUAUCAGUUUGGAUUUCGCUGUGCAAAUCGAGUGCAUGAAGUGUGAAUCUCUAGUAAUCGUGGAUCAGCACGCCUCGGUGAAUACGUUUCCCGGCCUUGUACACACCCCCCGUCACACCAUGGGAGUUGUCUUUACCCGAGGGCGUAGCGCUAACCCGCAAGGGAGGCAGGAGACCACGGUAGGGUCAGCGACUGGGGGAA
rnacentral:rRNA from 1 species